GGUUUUCGGACCUAGAGACCGGCGCACGGGUGCGUAACGCGUAUGCAAUCUACCUUUCACAGAGGGAUAGCCCAGAGAAAUUUGGAUUAAUACCUCAUAGUAUAACGACUCGGCAUCGAGAUGUUAUUAAAGUCACAACGGUGAAAGAUGAGCAUGCGUCCCAUUAGCUUGUUGGUAAGGUAACGGCUUACCAAGGCUACGAUGGGUAGGGGUCCUGAGAGGGAGAUCCCCCACACUGGUACUGAGACACGGACCAGACUCCUACGGGAGGCAGCAGUGAGGAGUAUUGGUCAAUGGACGCAAGUCUGAACCAGCCAUGCCGCGCGCAGGAUGACGGUCCUAUGGAUUGUAAACUGCUUUUGUACAGGAAGAAACAGUUCUACGUGUAGAACCUUGACGGUACUGUAAGAAUAAGGAUCGGCUAACUCCGUGCCAGCAGCCGCGGUAAUACGGAGGAUCCAAGCGUUAUCCGGAAUCAUUGGGUUUAAAGGGUCCGUAGGCGGUUUAGUAAGUCAGUGGUGAAAGCCCAUCGCUCAACGGUGGAACGGCCAUUGAUACUGCUAAACUUGAAUUAUUAGGAAGUAACUAGAAUAUGUAGUGUAGCGGUGAAAUGCUUAGAGAUUACAUGGAAUACCAAUUGCGAAGGCAGGUUACUACUAAUGGAUUGACGCUGAUGGACGAAAGCGUGGGUAGCGAACAGGAUUAGAUACCCUGGUAGUCCACGCCGUAAACGAUGGAUACUAGCUGUUGGAAGCAAUUUCAGUGGCUAAGCGAAAGUGAUAAGUAUCCCACCUGGGGAGUACGUUCGCAAGAAUGAAACUCAAAGGAAUUGACGGGGGCCCGCACAAGCGGUGGAGCAUGUGGUUUAAUUCGAUGA
rnacentral:rRNA from 1 species